rnacentral:tRNA from 1 species
AGGGGGUUGGUGUAAUGGUAACACGACGGUCUUCGGAACCGUAACUGGGGGUUCAAUUCCCUCACUUCCUG